rnacentral:rRNA from 1 species
UACGGAGGGUGCAAGCGUUAUCCGGAUUCACUGGGCUUAAAGGGUGCGUAGGUGGGUUGGUAAGUCAGUGGUGAAAUCCCCGAGCUUAACUUGGGAACUGCCAUUGAUACUAUUAAUCUUGAAUACCGUGGAGGUUAGCGGAAUAUGUCAUGUAGCGGUGAAAUGCUUAGAUAUGACAUAGAACACCAAUUGCGAAGGCAGCUGGCUACACGAAUAUUGACACUGAUGCACGAAAGCGUGGGGAGCAAACAGG